rnacentral:rRNA from 1 species
AACGUUAAAGACGAUGACGUUGAUAGGCCGGGUGUGUAAGCGCAGCGAUGCGUUGAGCUAACCGGUACUAAUGAACCGUGAGGCUUAACCUUACAACGCCGAAGCUGUU